GUGACGAGGAAACCAGACGGCUGUAAGUGACACUCGAGUAAAAACGGUAAAUAGCUCGCUUCCUGUAAACGGAUACCGUUCAACCAGAUACCCGCUCGACAGGGUUGAGCCACGUGCGCCGGCACGAGUCUCUUUCUAACUAUGCCGAACCUUUGUCCCUGCUCACAAUUACAGCAAAUCGCUGGUUCCGACAGGGAACAGUGAGGAAUCUUUGGUGUUCGAGGGAGUAUUUAAAGUACAAAAUUACUUUCGGUUCUUUAAUAUGGGACUUCUUUCGUGAUUGGACAGGAUGUUGCAGGAAGUUUAAUACAACAGGAUAUAUAGGAUUAUUGUUAAGGAUACAUUUGUACUUUUGGAGACUCUAGGCGCAACAUCGUCACAAAGUGUAAUUAUGUUUUGAAGUUAUGCUGUAAAACGAGGUUCCAUAGGGAGUGAAGCCCCACCUUGCACAUUGAUAAAUGCAGCCUCUGAUUAUUUUACAUUUAAUACGUAGAAUAAAAUCUGUUCAUUUGAAGCUUCGUUUUCGAGAACAUCGAGUUUAAACGUACAUAUAUUUAAUGAAAAAGUUAAUUCAGCAUACGAACUUGAUUUUCCUCGAUUUGUUUUCGUACGUAUAAUUGACGAGUUAGAUAUUUUAAUUCUUUUAAGGCAUUCUAGCUCUUAAAUUAGUGACUCAAAGAGAAACUGAAAAUUAACAUGAAACUGUAUCAUCAAUAAAUCAAAGUCUUCGUCAGAAAUAUGAUCCGAUGUCAUAAAACACCGUGGAAAUUCUUGCGUAAUGAUCGUCUAAUGCGAUUGAAAAUUAAUUCUAAUAACGAAAGUAUUCUAACGAUGUCGGAAGCGAUUAGUAACGGAAUGAGUUCACUUUGCGUGUUAUAGAGAAAAUUUCAUUGGUGGUUCAAUAACUGUAAAUUCGAAUUCUCCAUUCCCUUUCCUCGACUCGUCAGAUAAAAAUGGCUAUCAGUAGUAAGAGGAUUAGUGGUUCGGAUAAUGGUUGGUAAUGAUGCAUGUACUGCUUGAUACUGCUUGGUAAAUUGCCAAUCUUUUUUGUAUAACGGUUACUAUACAGGAAAAAAUUUUGAGCCUAUACAUACAUUUUAAUCUCCAUAGUAGGAUCUCCAUAGUAAACUGAAGUAUUCAGCAAAUUUUCUAUCGCAAAUAAUAAUAUUCUAAAUAAACACGAAAAAUUCAUAUACUAUUCUAUUACUAUUUAAUAACUGUUUAAUUAUUAUUUAAUGGCUAAUAAUCGUUUAAUGAUUACAUUUAAUAAUAAUAUAUUUAAUGAUUAAAACAUUGUUAUUCGCAGGAACUCGAGAAUAAAACUUUUAAUAAUUAAGCAGACAAGCUAAUUAUUAAUUUUAAUCUCUGAAUGAAUAUUAUAUAUUUCAACGUUUAGUAAUUUAUUGAAUAGUGGACUAUUUGCAAUAGUUGACAAAUUUAGUAAUUAAUUAAUUUAAUAAACUUUUUAAUAAUUUAAACUUAUUUAACUUUUAAAUAAUUAAUUUAGUAAACUUUAUGUUUAGUUUUUCUUAAACCGGUUUCGCAAAUAUUCGCAACGGAAAUGACUCUUGAACAAUGUACGAUGAGUACACGCAAUUCCAGUCUAAUUAGCCAGUUUUAGUGGCAAUUUAUCGUAAGAAAAGUAUCAUUAGUGAAAAUAAUGAAGACAAAAUCUGUGAAAUACACAAUUAACGCAUUAACAGAAAUAUAACAUUAAAAUCCUUCUACUAAUUCUACUAAUUAUUUUAAAUUCUGCAAGAUUAUUUCAACCAAAUUAUUGACCUGUAUCCAUAUAGCGUUAGUAAAAAUUUGCAUUUACAUAAAAUAUAUUUUAUUCCAAUCCAUGAGAUCAUUUAGAAAAAGAGUUUUUACAAAUUCAAUUUUUUUCAAACUUACAAAAAUGUCUUCAUCUAAAAAUUAUUAUUUGAACCUGCGGUAUUCGAUUUUUUUGUGCCUCAAUAUCUCUUUAAUUUCAACGGAGAAAAGAACUUUUGAUAUUUUAAGGAGAUCAUUAUCACAUAACCGGAACGAAAAAUCACGUACAUCAAUAAAGAUUCUGUGAUAUUUUCUUCGAAUUUAAGAAAUUUUUUUAACGAUGUAAAAAUACGGUUUGGUAGUAAAAAUAAUCCAACGGAUAUAAAUAAAAACUUGUAUGAAGUCGUGAUUUAUGCUCUAACAUAUAAUUUGUAAAUUAUAUUUUUCUGCAGAAAUCAUGGUAGCAUUCAUCCUUCAUCAGAACGUAUAAUAUUCAGCUGUACAAGGAAACGCUACACACAUUGGCCUGCUUAUCCAUAGACGUCGAACGACUUAUAUAUGUAUAUAUAUAUUUCAACAGAUACAUGAAGCAGAGAAUAUAUUAAGUGAUUCGUACAAUAAAAAUGAUAUCCAAUGAUUACAUUUAAAAUGUCUACUUAAGUUGAAAAAUUUAUAAUAGCUAGUUUUCCAAGAAUGUGAAAUAUGCAUGGAAGCUAUCUGUAACCAGGCACACCCGUCUUUUUCACCUGCAAUGUGAUAUUGCAAAUAUUCUUUCAGCGCUUAUGCGUUUUCUCAAAGAUAUUUUUCAAGCUUGAGAAAAUACAAAGGGGUCAGAAUUGACCGAAACAACGCAGUAAGAUUAAAUUAGUGAUUUUAUCAGUUAUACUACUUUUCUUCUUGACUCUUUAAAUAACAUACACUGUACACGCUAUACAGCGAUUUAGCGUGUCACUUAAUAUUUGAAAAAUUCCACGUAAACGACACAAAAUUGACAAAUCCAAUUGUUGCAGGUUCCUGAUUCCAACAUACAUACGUAAACAAUUUGAAAAGCGAUGGCUGGACGCAUCGUUGCAUUCGUGGAUCGAUCGUGCCACGAAAGGAAGACGUAAAUGAAAGUGACGAAACGGGUCAGCAACGACAUAAUGGAGAACAGUAAAUGGAAUGGAGGAUGCACUUUUUUCCGAGCAAUGGGGAACAGUUUGCAGCGAUAUGUUCGUGUUGAUGAACGAUAACGACAUGCAACUGAACCGGAAGCCAAGUAGACGCUCAAGCUUUCGUGUUGGUUAACAAUAUUUUCACCUAACGUGGCGACCACCUGAGAAAAAAUGUUUCCACGCUGUGUGAAUGAAAGUAACAAGAUUAGAUAGUCGACAGAAAUAAACGAAGGACAAAUUACGCAUAAGAAUCUUCUUCAGUCGCCAUCGAAGAAGCUACCGUGUACUGUACCAGGACCUUAUAAAUAAUUCACGAUGACACUCUAAUUACGUUAGGAACUUUUAUCAGUGGGAAUCCAUUUUUCACCUCGAAUCAUCGUAGAUCCUGACCACCUUCAACCUUGUAGAUACGGUGGUUGAAGUACCUUGAAUAAUUAAUUGUUAUAUCAGAUUGUUUUAUGAUUUUAAUUUUACUACAGUUCUUCAAGGAAUCGUCACUCUAAUUCUUAAGUAUUCUAUCUGACGAAGGUUACAUAGUCUGUAAACUGAGAAAACUGAGUUUAAAGUUUAUGGAGUAUAAUUCUAUCGUAAGGAGUUAGGAGUUAAGAAAACUGAAUAUUUGUUGCUUUCUAAGUAGAAUUUCUAUCAUAUUACCAGUGAAUUAGUGUUCUUUACACCAAUAAGAGAUAUGACGAUAUGGAUAAUUACAUUUUCUUUUUUUUUUAGAAACGAAGUUAAAGUAGAGAAGGACUAGGGCAACGAAUUAUUAAUAUACGUGGUCCCUCAUUUCAAUUUUAUUAAAAUUCCUCUUGAAGCAUUAACGAUCUUUUUAUCCAAUUCUGCAAAUAUACUGAAUAUUGAAUGCUUUGAUAUUUUCUACGCUCCCCAUGGGUUGUACAAAUUAACCCUUUUGCAUCUAUAUCUCGCGAUGUCGUUUAUGCUUCGAGAGGCGUUUCUUUUCAUUGACAUACCAGACAUUUCAUCCGCGGAUGUGAAAGGGUUAACGAUCCUAAACUCAUACCAGGAUAUCUUCUACGUUCAAAAAUGUCUUGUUUUACUUUUCUUUAAACGUUGACGCGAUAUUUAUAAUGUAUUAAGAUAAAUAUCAUUACGUACCAUAGAAUAGAUAACUGUUACUAAUACGAUAAAAAAUGUUUAGUACAGAAGUAACUAAAAUUCAUAGCGCAUCGAUUUGAAAGAUUCUUUUAUUCGCCAUAUGUACAUACAACUAUCAUAUUUUGACUUUUUCAAUAUAAGUUUUACAUUUUAGUCAGACCUGUCGUUAAAUAUUGAAAACCAGAUACGCGUGUUAUCUCGUUCCUGGAGUCAUAUGAACGAUAUUGCGUCGCGAGAUACAGUGUCUGUAAAUGUGAAUAGGUCAAACAGCGAAAGGAUUAACAGACCUGCUGGCUGGUUCGAUGUUUUUGUCGCGUUACGCCAAUGCAGAGCGACAGUGGUGCACGCGUACGCACUUUACACGCGCGUUCGGGUUAAAGUGUCUCGUUGAAGAGGACGAGAUGGCAAGCUUGAGCAUUAAAUGACGAGCAGUCCGACAUCUGCGGCUUCUCCCGUUUUCGCGUGCCACGCACGCUGAUGAUUGAUGACAAGCGUCUGACACGCCUUAGGGAGCUGAUACUCUCGCCUCGAAACAAUCAACGAUUCGAUCACGAUAGCCAGGCAGAGUGGAAUCGAUUGACCGAAUUGUUGGCAAUUUAAAUUCAAUGCACUUUAAUGAUAUGGCACCCACAAUACAGAUGCAUCGAUGGGAAUUAAUUAGUCGCAAUUGAAAUAUAAAUAGAUGGCUAUGUCUGUGACAAAUCUGAUUUUCUAAUAGAACUCGUUACUUUUUGUUGUAACUUCUAUUUGAAAUAUAUUAUUAAUCUUGAGAACGGUCUAAGUUAAUGUAACUCUUCCUUUAUAAAGAAAUAAAAUGAUAAAAUUUAAUUUUUCUUAUGAGCUGUAUUCCUUAAAUUAAAGCAUCAACUGCAUAAUUAUUAGCGACAGGAAAUUAUCUACUGUCAUAUCAAUCGUCAAUUAUUUUGUUGUCUUGGUAUACAUCAUCAGAAAUAUAUGAUAGAAAUUAUUUCAUGGUCUUAUUUUGUAUUAAAGAAAGUUUUAUCGUUUUAUCUUACUUAUGUAAAAAUAGUUUUGCUGUCAGUACUUUACACCGAAUGACAUCAUUUACAUUUCUUAUUUCUCAAAUAUUCGUAGCUCCAAGCUCCAAGUAGAUUAUUACAAUAUUAGAAAAUUGUGAAAUUCAGUUCUGACAUAACAAAGAUGACCGAUUGACGACAAUCAUUUGUCUUCUGUUGCAAACAGGAUACUACGUGCUUUCAGUGCAAUGGAUUUUGUGGAUAGAAUCUAGCAUAGCAACAGAGAGGUAAGAGCUUCAUUUGUAUCUUUAUAUGACAGAUUACAACAAAACCUUAUGCAUACUACGUUUAGUUUUCAAUGGAAAUAACAAUAGCUGUUGAACUUUUGAAUUUAAAUACUGCAAUCUGGAAUACUAGGAAUAUCUAUAAAAAAAUUUAUUAGUAAACUAGAAACAGUAAUUUUAAUGGAAUACAUAUUCAAUUAUACAUUGUAUCUUGCGCUAUGGUCCAUUUUAUGUCACAGAUGAUGUCCCGUAUCACACGAUACGAAAGUGAAUAUUACAAAAAUUGAAAAUAUGUAAACGUUUCAUUAUAUCGUAUAUAUGCCUACAUUCGUUUAAAACUGAGAUCAUUCGUCUACCGAAAACUUGUGUAGUCAACUAGAUGAAUUUCAAAAUGCCAGUCCAUUAAUACCAGCAACUUCUUAUGGAACACCAUGUAUAAUGGAAGUUCCAAGCGGAAUCAAAAAUGGCCCAACGUUCGCUAACCGCGACGCGACCGCAUAAUCUACCCUUCAAGGGUAAAAACCAUCCUCUCCACCAAUAGAACCCCUUAAACCGCGUUCUCAUGCAAACUGCUGCGCCACGCAGAACACUCAACAAAAUCGUGCACGCCAUUUACGACCGCAAUGGCGUUUUCACAUUCUAAAUACGUGACUUCUGCACAUUUCGUCUAAUGCCCUCUAACGUCGUCGCAGAUUUUCUACAUUCAUUUGCCUUUUUACUGCACUCAACCCGUUUCGCACAAAGAUUUCAUUCUUAAAUCUGCAACACGUGACGAAUAUUCAUUCUAUUGCUUCGAAACGACACGGACAGCGUCAUUCUGUGCAGAAUGCUGGUCCAUUGGCGUUUUUACAAUGACGGUCCAUCAGCCUUUCCUAUGCUCGAUGACAAUUCAUCGGUCUUUUCAACACGCGUCGUUUUGGAUGAAAAUCGUGUUUCCAAGGCUGCGAUGUAAAAUAAAUGCUCGUGUCAAUGCUCUUAACAAUGUGUUCAUUUUUAUGUAAAUAACGAGCAGCAACAAUUUGUCGAACUUUUCAAUACAUUUGUCAGCGUUUUAUCAGUCUUCUGGAUGAGUUCAACAAUUUUUCAAUUGAAAUUAUUUUUAAAUAUACAGUGGGGACAAAAAUAGUUGGAUAACGAAAGUUUCGUUAAAUACAGUCUAUUCAUAUAAAAACGUAAAUAUGAACUUCAAUUAUUUACUACAUAAUCUGUGUAUUACGAGAAUAUAUAAUAAAUAAAACAUAAGUAUACAAUAUUAGUACUAGUAGCUCGAUUAACUUAAUUCCACUAAAUGUCCACUUAUUUUUCUUCCCAAUUGUAUAUAUAUAUAUAAUAUACAAUAUAAAUAUCUUUUUUAAUGUUUUAAAAACUACGUGCGAAAAUUAUACGCACGAUUGUCCGCAUGUAACGAUGAUACACCAUAAAAAGAAAUGUUUAAAUGUUUCUAAGAAUUUCAAACGCUUUAGUUAUAGCUGUUCAUGUGGGAACACGACUUUAUGUAGUUUUGUUUCCUUUCGUAUGUCGUAUUGUGUUUGUAUUUGGGCAUAUGUUAUGGAUCAACCAACGUCGUGUGCUAUGGCAGAGGAAAAGAGUGGGCGAAGCUGCUUUGCUCAGAGAAGCAGCAGUUCUGAACAGCACUGCGUUAAAACAAGCAUGUACUAAAACUUUCUCAGCAAAUCCUGUAUCUCUCUUGUCUUUCUAAUUUAAAUCAUAUGUCAAUCUAAAAUUCUCUAAAUUUUGCUAUAUUUCUUGGCAUCAUCCCGUAUUUUUUUUAUCGAAUUUUUAAUAUAAAAAUUUCGAUCGACAAAUUUUUCAUUUCAUUUAACUUUGUUUUACUUUACAUUUUUUAUUUACUUAACUUUAAUAACUUUUAAUUAUUUAAUAUUUAAUUUAUAUAUUAAUAAAUGCCAAUACAAAAAUUUGUAAUUUAACGUCACUGUUUCAUAGUCCAAAAUAAUUAAAACGCAUACGAACUUUUUGCCUUAUCCGA